AAUGAAAUGCCUGAUAAAAGGAUUAUUUUGAUAGAAUAAAUUAUGUAUAAACUAUACUUUCAUUA
rnacentral:tRNA from 1 species